GGUUACUGUGCAUUGAAUUGUGGACUACAAGUUAGGUGUCAACAAGGUGUUACCCCAGGCUUAAACUUUAGUAGAGUUUUUGGCUCCAGAUAUUUUUUGACAAUUUCUUCGGGAAACUAAUGUACUUUGUUUAGAUAACAAAUCUUAAAGGACCAAUGAACUUACUUCUGAAUGUAGGAUCUUCAAUGAUCUUUAUAUGUAAACAGCAUACCCAAGAUUUCAAAAUGACCAUGGAGGUUUU
rnacentral:lncRNA from 1 species